UUUAAUCAAAACACAGGGAUUCUGGUAAAUAAAAUUCAUUUCCUGUAAUCGUAUGACAGAAGUAUGAGAAAUAUUCAUUGAUACCAUUUAUACACAAAUAUCGGUGCAAUUAAGUCUAAAUAUAACCUAAAACCUCACAGCAACUUUUAUUUGUUUCAUUUUUUUAGACUUAGAGCCAGGACUAACAUCUGCACCUUAUAAGUCCCCCAUUAUUCUUUGCAAGUUAUUUCAGAAUGACUACCACUAUUAAAACAUCCAAAGUUAGUCUUUAUUCGUUACAUAAAAUUGUGCUGGCAUCUGAAGUGAUGCAUAAAUC
rnacentral:lncRNA from 1 species